rnacentral:rRNA from 1 species
UACAGAGGGGGCAAGCGUUGUUCGGAAUUACUGGGCGUAAAGGGCGCGUAGGCGGCCUUCUAAGUCGAACGUGAAAUCCCCGGGCUCAACCCGGGAACUGCGUCCGAUACUGGAAGGCUUGAAUCCGGGAGAGUGAUGUGGAAUUCCAGGUGUAGCGGUGAAAUGCGUAGAUAUCUGGAGGAACACCGGUGGCGAAGGCGGCAUUCUGGACCAAUAUUGACGCUGAGGAGCGAAAGCCAGGGGAGCAAACGGG